rnacentral:misc_RNA from 1 species
CGGGCGGAGACACUCACG